AGCCGGCGAUGUCCGAAUGGGGAAACCCAGUGCAAUUCGUUGCACUAUCGUUAACUGAAUACAUAGGUUAACGAGGCGAACCGGGGGAACUGAAACAUCUAAGUACCCCGAGGAAAAGAAAUCAACCGAGAUUCCCCCAGUAGCGGCGAGCGAACGGGGAGCAGCCCAGAGUCUGAAUCAGCUUGUGUGUUAGUGGAACGGUCUGGAAAGUCCGACGGUACAGGGUGAUAGUCCCGUACACCAAAAUGCACAGGCUGUGAACUCGAAGAGUAGGGCGGGACACGUGGUAUCCUGUCUGAAUAUGGGGGGACCAUCCUCCAAGGCUAAAUACUCCUGACUGACCGAUAGUGAACCAGUACCGUGAGGGAAAGGCGAAAAGAACCCCGGCGAGGGGAGUGAAAAAGAACCUGAAACCGUGUACGUACAAGCAGUGGGAGCACCUUCGGGUGUGACUGCGUACCUUUUGUAUAAUGGGUCAGCGACUUAUAUUCUGUAGCAAGGUUAACCGUAUAGGGGAGCCGCAGGGAAACCGAGUCUUAACUGGGCGUUAAGUUGCAGGGUAUAGACCCGAAACCCGGUGAUCUAGCCAUGGGCAGGUUGAAGGUUGGGUAACACUAACUGGAGGACCGAACCGACUAAUGUUGAAAAAUUAGCGGAUGACUUGUGGCUGGGGGUGAAAGGCCAAUCAAACCGGGAGAUAGCUGGUUCUCCCCGAAAGCUAUUUAGGUAGCGCCUCGUGAACUCAUCUUCGGGGGUAGAGCACUGUUUCGGCUAGGGGGUCAUCCCGACUUACCAACCCGAUGCAAACUACGAAUACCGAAGAAUGUUAUCACGGGAGACACACGGCGGGUGCUAACGUCCGUCGUGAAGAGGGAAACAACCCAGACCGCCAGCUAAGGUCCCAAAGUCAUGGUUAAGUGGGAAACGAUGUGGGAAGGCACAGACAGCCAGGAUGUUGGCUUAGAAGCAGCCAUCAUUUAAAGAAAGCGUAAUAGCUCACUGGUCGAGUCGGCCUGCGCGGAAGAUGUAACGGGGCUAAACCAUGCACCGAAGCUGCGGCAGCGACACUAUGUGUUGUUGGGUAGGGGAGCGUUCUGUAAGCCUGCGAAGGUGACCUGUGAGGGUUGCUGGAGGUAUCAGAAGUGCGAAUGCUGACAUAAGUAACGAUAAAGCGGGUGAAAAGCCCGCUCGCCGGAAGACCAAGGGUUCCUGUCCAACGUUAAUCGGGGCAGGGUGAGUCGACCCCUAAGGCGAGGCCGAAAGGCGUAGUCGAUGGGAAACAGGUUAAUAUUCCUGUACUUGGUGUUACUGCGAAGGGGGGACGGAGAAGGCUAUGUUAGCCGGGCGACGGUUGUCCCGGUUUAAGCAUGUAGGCUGAUUGUCCAGGCAAAUCCGGAUAAUCAAGGCUGAGGUGUGAUGACGAGGCACUACGGUGCUGAAGUAACAAAUGCCCUGCUUCCAGGAAAAGCCUCUAAGCAUCAGGUAACAUCAAAUCGUACCCCAAACCGACACAGGUGGUCAGGUAGAGAAUACCAAGGCGCUUGAGAGAACUCGGGUGAAGGAACUAGGCAAAAUGGUGCCGUAACUUCGGGAGAAGGCACGCUGGUGUGUAGGUGAAGUCCCUGCGGAUGGAGCUGAGACCAGUCGAAGAUACCAGCUGGCUGCAACUGUUUAUUAAAAACACAGCACUGUGCAAACACGAAAGUGGACGUAUACGGUGUGACGCCUGCCCGGUGCCGGAAGGUUAAUUGAUGGGGUUAUCCGUAAGGAGAAGCUCUUGAUCGAAGCCCCGGUAAACGGCGGCCGUAACUAUAACGGUCCUAAGGUAGCGAAAUUCCUUGUCGGGUAAGUUCCGACCUGCACGAAUGGCGUAAUGAUGGCCAGGCUGUCUCCACCCGAGACUCAGUGAAAUUGAACUCGCUGUGAAGAUGCAGUGUACCCGCGGCAAGACGGAAAGACCCCGUGAACCUUUACUAUAGCUUGACACUGAACAUUGAGCCUUGAUGUGUAGGAUAGGUGGGAGGCUUUGAAGCGUGGACGCCAGUCUGCGUGGAGCCAACCUUGAAAUACCACCCUUUAAUGUUUGAUGUUCUAACGUUGGCCCCUUACCGGGGUUGCGGACAGUGUCUGGUGGGUAGUUUGACUGGGGCGGUCUCCUCCCAAAGCGUAACGGAGGAGCACGAAGGUUAGCUAAUCCUGGUCGGACAUCAGGAGGUUAGUGCAAUGGCAUAAGCUAGCUUGACUGCGAGCGUGACGGCGCGAGCAGGUGCGAAAGCAGGUCAUAGUGAUCCGGUGGUUCUGAAUGGAAGGGCCAUCGCUCAACGGAUAAAAGGUACUCCGGGGAUAACAGGCUGAUACCGCCCAAGAGUUCAUAUCGACGGCGGUGUUUGGCACCUCGAUGUCGGCUCAUCACAUCCUGGGGCUGAAGUAGGUCCCAAGGGUAUGGCUGUUCGCCAUUUAAAGUGGUACGCGAGCUGGGUUUAGAACGUCGUGAGACAGUUCGGUCCCUAUCUGCCGUGGGCGCUGGAGAAUUGAGGGGGGCUGCUCCUAGUACGAGAGGACCGGAGUGGACGCAUCACUGGUGUUCGGGUUGUCAUGCCAAUGGCACUGCCCGGUAGCUAAAUGCGGAAGAGAUAAGUGCUGAAAGCAUCUAAGCACGAAACUUGCCCCGAGAUGAGUUCUCCCUGAGACUUUAAGUCUCCUGAAGGAACGUU
rnacentral:rRNA from 1 species